GAUGAACGCUGGCGGCGUGCCUAAUACAUGCAAGUCGAGCGAACAGAUGAGGAGCUUGCUCCUCUGACGUUAGCGGCGGACGGGUGAGUAACACGUGGAUAACCUACCUAUAAGACUGGGAUAACUUCGGGAAACCGGAGCUAAUACCGGAUAAUAUAUUGAACCGCAUGGUUCAAUAGUGAAAGACGGUUUUGCUGUCACUUAUAGAUGGAUCCGCGCGGCAUUAGCUAGUUGGUAAGGUAACGGCUUACCAAGGCAACGAUGCGUAGCCGACCUGAGAGGGUGAUCGGCCACACUGGAACUGAGACACGGUCCAGACUCCUACGGGAGGCAGCAGUAGGGAAUCUUCGGCAAUAGGCGAAAGCCUGACGGAGCAACGCCGCGUGAGUGAUGAAGGUCUUCGGAUCGUAAAACUCUGUUAUUAGGGAAGAACAAAUGUGUAAGUAACUAUGCACGUCUUGACGGUACCUAAUCAGAAAGCCACGGCUAACUACGUG
rnacentral:rRNA from 1 species